AACGAACGCUGGCGGCAUGCCUAACACAUGCAAGUCGAACGAGACCUUCGGGUCUAUUGGCGCACGGGUGCGUAACGCGUGGGAACCUGCCCUUAGGUUCGGAAUAACUCCCCGAAAGGGGUGCUAAUACCGGAUAAUGUCUUCGGACCAAAGAUUUAUCGCCUUUGGAUGGGCCCGCGUUGGAUUAGCUAGUUGGUAGGGUAAAAGCCUACCAAGGCGACGAUCCAUAGCUGGUCUGAGAGGAUGAUCAGCCACACUGGGACUGAGACACGGCCCAGACUCCUACGGGAGGCAGCAGUGGGGAAUAUUGGACAAUGGGCGAAAGCCUGAUCCAGCAAUGCCGCGUGAGUGAUGAAGGCCUUAGGGUUGUAAAGCUCUUUUACCCGGGAUGAUAAUGACAGUACCGGGAGAAUAAGCUCCGGCUAACUCCGU
rnacentral:rRNA from 1 species